CAGAGAUGUGUAGAACAAAACGCCAUCCAUGAUUUCCUUCUUGGUUGAUAUAUUAGAGAUGCGUGUAUACUUAUGUAGGGAGAUAUGUGACUGCCGAAGUAAAGAGCAAAAUAUAUAGUCUGAAGUCUGAACAAUGUUGUGAAACGUCAGUGGUCCCUUUUACCGUUAGAAGAAGAAACAUCAAUGGUUCCUUAGAAAGCGUCAUCAGGCGUUCAUAUAUAUGACUAAACAAAAGAUUUACAGUGCCUUGAUGGAUCCGGCAACAGCAUCCUGUAAUUUAUAUAUUAUCCUGCGCUAUCAAAGCUUCAAGAUGUGUUUGAAAUGGCAACCGGCGGCUCCUAGAAGGCAAGUGUUAAAGUACGAUUUUGUACAUCACUUGGGGACAUGGCAGUUAAUUGAGACAUUUUAUCAAACACCUUUGCUCCUGCCUCUCAAGGGAAUUGUCGAGGAAGAUAUGUUCCAAGUUCGGGGGAAAUUGCUUACUGGACUCAGUUGAUUCCUUUAUGCACAAGGUAUCUCCGUUGCUACUACAGUACAGUUGAUUUAAAUAUCAAGUUGUUUUAUGCUUUCCCACUUCAAGAAGGACAAAUUCAAUGUUAUUACUAUUACAAAUGGACUUCUUGUAAUCAAGUGUAGGGAUACAAACAGGCAAAGACAGCAACUUCAACCUAUAUAUCAUCAUAUACCAUUGUAUCCAUUGCCUUCACAUCUAUCAAGUUCAAUACAAAUAAUGUCUUGUUGAAA